UUCCUAAUAUAGACCCAACUACUUCGUAGGAAGGGUAACGGACAGAGCGGAGACGCCAACAGUUUGAGUUUGCUGCUUUGAAAACCACUUUUUCAUGGACACACAACAGAAUUAUGGAGCCAGUAUCACAGGUGUUAUUCCCAGAAACGAAGCAGGAAAUAUGGAAACAAGAGGCCGAUGCUACGGUCUACAUGAAUUUCAUGAAAAGUCACUGCUGCUAUGAUGCCAUUCCAACCAGCUGUAAACUGGUCAUAUUUGAUACCAAACUACAAGUGAAAAAGGCCUUUUUUGCACUGGUGGCAAACGGCUUGAGGGCAGCGCCUUUAUGGGACAGCAAGUUACAGAGAUUUGUGGGUAUGUUGACUAUCACAGAUUUCAUCAACAUCCUCCAUUGCUAUUACAAGUCCCCUAUGGUUCAAAUGUACGAGCUGGAGAGCCACAAGAUUGAGACAUGGAGAGGUGACUCAUUUCAAUACGUCUACUUACAGUGCUCCAAUCACUUCCUCAUUAGUAUCUCUCCAGAGGCAAGCCUCUUUGAUGCCAUCUAUUCCUUACUUAAAUACAAGAUCCACAGGCUGCCAGUCAUCGAUCCAGAGUCUGGAAAUGUCUUGCACAUUCUGACCCACAAAAGAAUCCUCAAGUUCCUCCACAUAUUUGGGAAGAGAGUUCCCAAGCCUGCAUUCACUGGGAAGCAGAUCCAGGAGCUUGGGAUUGGAACGUUCAGGAACAUCGCCACUGUUCAGGAAACGGCAACACUUUACGAUGCCCUCUCCAUUUUUGUGGAAAGGCGGGUGUCUGCACUACCUGUGGUCGACAAACAAGGCAAAGUGGUGUCACUCUACUCAAGAUUUGAUGUGAUUAAUCUAGCAGCCCAGAAGUCUUACAACAACCUGGACAUGACUAUGCGAGAGGCCAUUUGCAGGCGCCCGUGUUUUGUGGAGGGAGUAAUCAAGUGCUAUCCUGAUGAAACCUUGGACACCAUCAUAGACCGCAUAGUCAAAGCUGAGGUCCAUCGGCUGGUCCUGGUGGACAGGGCUGACGUGGUGAAGGGCAUCAUCUCUCUGUCUGACCUGCUGCAGGCCAUGGUCUUAACCCCUGCAGGUAUUGACGCCCUUUUGUCCUAGCACCAGGGGACAGAGGGUCCCCUCCCCUGCUUUACCGCCUGUGUAGGCUUGAUUCCUGGUCGUGUAUCCAGCCAGGAAUCAACUUGGACGUGAAGUAAGAGAUCACAAGAGGAAGUAGAAUUCCCUGGCUGUGCUGCUGUUUACAUUAAGAUGCCUUCCGUGAUCCAUGUGCUGGAAGCUGACCUUGAUACUGUAAUGAAUCUUCAUAGCUCUUUUAUAUUGGCUGCAUCUGAUCAAAUUGAUCAGCAAAUGUAUGUUUUCUCAAUGCUGUAUAUUUCUGUAUUAAAUAUUUGUAUUAAAAUUUGCUAGAGUUUUCAAUGUA